rnacentral:tRNA from 1 species
GGUAGGAUGGCUGAAGGUCAAGCGGUGGAUUGUAGUCCCAUAAAUAGAGGUUUAAGUCCUCUUCCUAUCA